rnacentral:misc_RNA from 1 species
UAGAUGCCAAGUCAAUUUUCCUAAUUGAUUACUCUUUAUCAUCUCAAACAGAUAAAGAUCGCCGCCGGCGAACGGAUUCAGCUAUGGAAACUCUUGAAUACUGGCUCGUCCAUCAUCCAAUCAUCACCAAUUUCGAAUGGAAUCAAAACUCCACAUUCGGUUCUUCACUUCUUUUCCUAGCUCUCACUGUCCUCACUUACCUCGCGCUCACUUUCUCUUUCCACUAUUUCCCUCUUCUCCCUACACUCUCCCCUGCCUCCCUACGCUUCAUCUCCG